CCUACGGGAGGCAGCAGUGGGGAAUAUUGGGCAAUGGAGGAAACUCUGACCCAGCGACGCCGCGUGAGGGAUGAAGGCCUUCGGGUUGUAAACCUCUUUCAGUAGGGAAGAAGCGAAAGUGACGGUACCUACAGAAGAAGCACCGGCUAACUAUGUGCCAGCAGCCGCGGUGAUACAUAGGGUGCAAGCGUUGUCCGGAAUUAUUGGGCGUAAAGAGCUCGUAGGUGGUUCGAUACGUCGGAUGUGAAAAUCAGGGGCUCAACCCCCUGACCUGCAUCCGAUACGGUCGAGCUAGAGUUUGGUAGGGGAGACUGGAAUUCCUGGUGUAGCGGUGGAAUGCGCAGAUAUCAGGAGGAACACCGAUGGCGAAGGCAGGUCUCUGGGCCAAUACUGACACUGAGGAGCGAAAGCGUGGGGAGCGAACAGGAUUAGAUACCCUGGUAGUCCACGCCGUAAACGGUGGGCGCUAGUUGUGCGAACCUUCCACGGUUUGUGCGACGCAGCACGCAUAAGCGCCCCGCCCGUCGGGGAGGUACGAGUCGCGAAGAAUUAAAACUUAACGUAAAGGUAAAGUUAGACGGCGUUGAGACGUUGCCGACGGCGACCGACCGAGGGGAGGUUAGG
rnacentral:rRNA from 1 species